GAAUCAGGAGUAUUGGAGGUAGACAUCGGUGGCAAUCCUCAGGAAAGUGAGUACAUGGUGUGAGAGAGAAAUAAACGAGUUGGCUGGAAUUCUUUAAGGACCCUGUUGCUACAAACAAAUACUACAAUUACUAGAUCAACUCACUCCCACAGAACAUUUUGAUUUAAGUGCAACUGCAUUUGCUGAUGGAAAACUGUUUCACUGAAAAUGUUGUUGACCCUUCUGCAAUAAAUUCUGUAUCAUUAUAAAUGUUAUGUUACCGUUAACAGCAAAUAAAUAGCCAUGGCAGUAUAUCUAUCUCUAUCUUCUUUCCAGGGUCUAGAUAAGUGAUACUCAGACCUCAGUGGUUAAGGAGCCAAAUGAGUGAGCAGCAUUCCCCAAUUAUUUCAUUUGCUAUAGUUCCAUAUAU